rnacentral:rRNA from 1 species
AUUGAACGCUGGCGGCAUGCCUUACACAUGCAAGUCGAACGGUAACGGGCCUUCGUGUGCCGCCGAGUGGUGAAUGGGUGAGUAAUACAUCCGCACGUGCCCGAUCUUGGGGGAUAACGCGUCGAAAGCUUUCCUAAUACCGCAUACGAUCUACGGAUUAAAGCCGGGGACCGCAAGGCCUUGCGCGUACGUAGCUGCCGAUGGCAGAUUAGGUAGUUGGUGGGAUAAAAGCUUACCAAGCCGACGAUCUGUAGCUGGCCUGAGAGGAUGAUCAGCCACACUGGGACUGAGACACGGCCCAGACUCCUACGGGAGGCAGCAGUGGGGAAUCUUGGGCAAUGGGCGAAAGCCUGAUCCAGCAAUGCCGCGUGAAGGAUGAAGGCGUUCGGGUUGUAAAGUGCUUUUGUACGGAACGAAAAGAAUUCUUUUAAUACAGGAGGGUCAUGACGGUACCGGAAGAAUAAGCACCGGCUAACUACGUG